ACGAAGCAUACGAAUUGGAUUUCUUCGGAAAAAAGAAUCGUAUGACUGAGUGGCGGACGGGUGAGUAACGCGUGGGUAACCUACCUCAUACAGGGGGAUAACAGUUAGAAAUGACUGCUAAUACCGCAUAAGCGCACAGAACCACAUGGUUCGGUGUGAAAAACUCCGGUGGUAUGAGAUGGACCCGCGUCUGAUUAGCUAGUUGGUAAGGUAAUGGCUUACCAAGGCGACGAUCAGUAGCCGACCUGAGAGGGUGAUCGGCCACAUUGGGACUGAGACACGGCCCAAACUCCUACGGGAGGCAGCAGUGGGGAAUAUUGCACAAUGGGGGAAACCCUGAUGCAGCGACGCCGCGUGAAGGAAGACGUGUUUCGGCAUGUAAACUUCUAUCAGCAGGGAAGAAAAUGACGGUACCUGACUAAGAAGCCCCGGCUAACUACGUGCCAGCAGCCGCGGUAAUACGUAGGGGGCAAGCGUUAUCCGGAUUUACUGGGUGUAAAGGGAGCGUAGACGGUUGUGCAAGUCAGAUGUGAAAGCCCAAGGCUCAACCUUGGGACUGCAUUUGAAACUGUGCAACUAGAGUGUCGGAGAGGUAAGUGGAAUUCCUAGUGUAGCGGUGAAAUGCGUAGAUAUUAGGAGGAACACCAGUGGCGAAG
rnacentral:rRNA from 1 species